UACGUAGGUGACCAGCGUUGUCCGGAUUUACUGGGCGUAAAGAGCGCGCAGGCGGUCGUUCACGUCGAGUGUGAAAGCCCCCGGCUCAACUGGGGAGGGUCACUCGAUACUGAUCGACUUGAAGGCAGGAGAGGGAAGCGGAAUUCCCGGUGUAGUGGUGAAAUGCGUAGAUAUCGGGAGGAACACCAGUGGCGAAGGCGGCUUCCUGGCCUGUUCUUGACGCUGAGGCGCGAAAGCUAGGGGAGCAAACGGG
rnacentral:rRNA from 1 species